rnacentral:lncRNA from 1 species
GCCACAUUGGGAGUAGAGAGUGGUGGAGAGAAAGAGAGAAGGUCAGAGAGGUCAGUAAAGUCCAGACCAUGCACAGCUUCAGGUCAGGUGAAGAAUGGGAAGCUAUUGGCAGAUUUUAAGCAGGGGAAUGUCAUGAUCUAAUGUUUUCAAAAGACCACUCUAGCAGGAGUGUGGUGGAGUGAGAGUGGGUGUGGGAAGAGCAGUUAUAUGACCAUUUAAGCGAUCUUAGCAGACAUGAUGGCAGCUCUGCAAUGAAGACCAGGAGAUGAACACGGGAUACAUUUUGGAGUUGUAGCUGAUCGGGCAUACUGAUGGAUUAGAGGGGGGUAGCAGUAAGCAAGGGGUCUUUGAAGAGUUCACCCAGGAGCUUCAAAAUGAGGAACAGUGCUUGCAAUUUCCUUGAAUACUAAGAACAUCCAGCUAUUUGUAGACAGAUAAAAGAGAGCAGCCCCCAGAGGUGCUGAUCCAGCCAAGAUAGCUCAUCCAGGUAACUGCACUGGGGAAAAGAUUAUAUCCAAAACUUUUGGAUUGCUCGACAUUAGAUGUUAACUCUGAGCUAAUACUAAUUUCCAGGGACCCAGAAUGAACUUAUCAAUGGAUAUCAGGACUGAACAGAAGUAGCUGUGCAACCACCACUAGAAGCCUUCUGAGCGUGUUACUGAAGAGGAUGAGGCAGGAGGCUUCCAGAGGCAACAGCCAAGACUAAGCCAUCAACCACAGGGCCAAACCCAGUAAAAAAGAAAAAUAAGAACACUUCCACUUAAAGAACUGCUGCAAUUAUACUGUUCCUUUUUUUUUUCCAUUAACAUGUCUUUCCUUUUAUGAUGGCGAGAGUUAAUAUUAAGGUGUGCAUAUAUGUUUG